GUCCUGUGUGAAGUCGCGCGGCUUCCACCCACGCAGUGUUCUAAGUGAAGGCCAGAAACUCGCUCGCCAUGUCGGCUGCAGAGGCGGGGGGUGUUUUCCACAGAGCCAGGGGCAGGACCCUGGACGCGUUUCCCGCAGAAAAGGAAAGCGAAUGGAAAGGCCCAUUCUACUUCAUCCUGGGCGCAGACCCACAGUUUGGGCUGAUGAAGGCCUGGUCCACUGGGGACUGUGACAAUGGCGGUGACGAAUGGGAACAGGAGAUCCGUCUAACUGAGCAAGCCGUCCAGGCCAUCAACAAGCUGAACCCCAAACCCAAAUUCUUCGUUCUGUGCGGCGACCUCAUCCACGCCAUGCCAGGUAAGACUCGGGUCAUCGCUUGUGACCUUUUCUCCUUCAGCCAGUCAUGACUGCAUUUGGGCAGGAAAAGAAAAGAUUUUGCUUCAAAGGCAUCUUUGCUCAGUCAUGGACCAUUCUUUCGCUUCAUGAUUGUUGCAGUAUCAUUGAACAUCAGAAAGUGCACACUCAUGUUAUAUUUAGAGUUUGGCGAGAUUAAUCACAGUAAUUAGGC
rnacentral:sRNA from 1 species